UACAGAGGUCUCAAGCGUUGUUCGGAUUUACUGGGCGUAAAGGGUGCGUAGGAGGCCGCGCAAGUCAGGCGUGAAAGCCCGGGGCUCAACCCCGGAAUGGCGCUUGAACCUGCGCGGCUGGAGGGCCGGAGAGGCUGCCGGAAUUCCCGGUGUAGCAGUGAAAUGCGUAGAGAUCGGGAGGAACACCAAAGGCGAAGGCAGGCAGCUGGAAGGCACCUGACUCUGAGGCACGAAAGCCAGGGGAGCAAACGGG
rnacentral:rRNA from 1 species